rnacentral:lncRNA from 1 species
ACUCAGAUUUAGUUUGCCAGGCUCCACUUAAUCUGUGUGUGAGUCUCCUAGACUUCUCCUAUUUGGCAUUGGGAAGGGAAAUGUAGUGGUUUCCUUUGUUGCUCAAACUCAGUUUUCCCCAGAGGGAUUCACCGUCCUCUUCCUGUUCAGCUUCUGUCCUCUCAGUUUGACGUAGCAGACGCUAGGGAGAGGAGAGAUCAAGUCCUCGUGUAGGGAAGGAGCUGUUGGUGACGGAAGGAAGCUCAAGGCCCCAAGGAGGGCGGGGCCACUGCAUGGCUUCUGGCAC